CAAAACUGGGGCAAGUCUUAGGCCGUAGGCCCCAAAUCCCAACACUACCAUGUUUUGGUCACUGUGGGGCAUUCUUAGAAUGGCAUCACCGUGGCUUCCUGAUGUCACAGGUCACCUCACAGCUCAGUGUUCUGAGCCCUAUAAAUAGGGGGAUGCUGUGCCCAGAACCCCAGUCGCUGAGUCAGAGACGCCACUGGCAACUUUAGCUCGACAGCCGAGUGGUUGUUUUUUUUUUUUUUUGUGAAGGAGGCAGGAUGGAUUGUUCUCCUGCAAAGAAGAUGGAGAUGUUCUGCAAAGAAGCGGCUAAUGGAGAGUCUCAACACCAUCGAGCCCAUGGAGGUGGACCCUCCUGAGAGUGAGGAGGAGCCCAUGGAGGUGGACCUGGAGCCAGACAAAGAACUGAUGGAAGUAGAUCCACCUCCAUGAGGGCAGAGCCACCACCAGCCCAUCGCUCUCAGGAAGCGGCAGAAGAGAGCCAGACCCAGAGCCCACCCCUACUACUGGAGUGGCCUGAGGCCCGGUCCACCUCCGUGCAGAUAGCCGCCUCGAUGCCAGCCCUGAUAUUCCCAUCCUCCAGGGUUCCUGUGGACCCAUCCUUCCUGUCCCCACCUCCCGUCCUUCCCCAAGUCCUCUCAUCUCUUCUUCACCAUGAGGAAGAAGGAAGGGCAGGGACUGGCAUCCUCUGAGCCGCUGUGCCGGGGCAACAGGAGGAGUCCAGUGGAGGAAUUCGAGCUGCCCAGGGAUGUGAGGAGGUGUCAAAGGUGUCACCGAGGGUGGCUGUUCCUGUGGAGAAGCGGAAGACUUUGGUUGUGACAGGAGGAAGGCUGAUGUUCAGCAUGAAGGACUUUUUUGUAAGACUGGACAACAGAAGUUUUUAAUAAACCGAACAAAUAAAAUAAAUAUGAACAAAUAAAACAAACAAACAAGCAAGCAAAAGUCCCUAAAGCCACAAAAAUAACCAAAAGAAUAAAUACUUCUCUGUUUUUUAUUUGGAACUUGAGAUUCUGUGUGUGGAUUCCUGCAUCCUCUCCUGGUCUUCCCAGUACAAGGAAGACGCUGGCAUAUGGGGCGAGGGCCCACCUGAGAGCCUGUCAGGGCUGGGCUGGGGCCAAGGUACCUUGCAUCCUGGUGAUGCCAG